GAAGCAACUUCCAAAGUUUCACAAAAGCAUCCACUGACUGGAGUUGGCUACUGAGUGGAAUUGGAGACCCACUGCUGACGCCACGGCUUUCGACAAUGCACCUUUUGCACUGCUCGUCAUCUGUAAAUGCACUGAGCUCCUGAAGCCCUGCACCCUCAGCUGCAAAUGCUUGUGGGGAUGACCCGACCCUGGAGUAUGCCUCGGGCCCUGGACACAGAUGAAUUCUGGAAGUAUUUGAAUGAAUAUAAUUCAACCCCAUGUCAAGUCACGAGAUCUUCAAUCAGAGCAAACAUGAAGUCUCAGCCAAGCCACUGUCAUGGCCGGGGCUACCUCCGCACGAGCCCUGCGCAGCCAUUCAAGCCACUGGAGAGCCUCAGAAUGGUGAGAAGAUUAGACAGAACACAAA